rnacentral:rRNA from 1 species
AGAGUUUGAUCCUGGCUCAGAUUGAACGCUGGCGGCAUGCUUUACACAUGCAAGUCGAACGGUAACAGGUCUUCGGAUGCUGACGAGUGGCGAACGGGUGAGUAAUGCAUCGGAACGUGCCCAGUCGUGGGGGAUAACGCAGCGAAAGCUGUGCUAAUACCGCAUACGAUCUAUGGAUGAAAGCGGGGGAUCGCAAGACCUCGCGCGAUUGGAGCGGCCGAUGUCAGAUUAGCUAGUUGGUGGGGUAAAGGCCCACCAAGGCGACGAUCUGUAGCUGG